rnacentral:rRNA from 1 species
UUACCUGGACGGGGUCUAUGUGCGAUCAAGAAGGCUCAUGGCCUAUAUCAAUGGUUCACAUUGCACAUAGUGAAUGUGUUGAUCUAUCAUCUCCCUUGGGAGAGUGGACAUCAAAAUUUGUGUUAG